rnacentral:misc_RNA from 1 species
GUGAAUCAUCAAAUUUUUGAACGCAAAUUGCACUCUCUUCGGAGAGUAUGCCUGUUUGAGGGUCAGCCUAAAAAAACCCGACAUAGUUCUUUUUACCCGGUAACUUUCGUCGGAAAUUGGGUCAUCUUAAACCUUUGGCCUUAACCGGUUUAAAAUUUUUUUUACGUUUCAAAAAACGUUUUUAAGAUUUUUUUUUUUUUUACUUUUAAGUUAUCAAUUUUUAUUAGA